rnacentral:lncRNA from 1 species
AGUAUGACCACGGACUCUGAUUCCAUACGUUUCGUCACACUUCCUCCUGUAGAGAUCAGCUCCGGAGCUACGACGCCUGGUCCCUUCAUGUCUGAAUUCAUCAAAGCUCAGACACUACUCGUCAGAGACGCAGUCCACGAGCUCACUCGCUCCAACUCGGUUCGGCUCGCUGGGUUCGUUAUUGACGUGAUGUGCACCCACAUGAUUGAUGUGGCCGAUGAGUUUGGGGUGCCUUCCUAUCUCUUCUCCACUUCCAGCGCCGCUUCUCUUGGCUUCCUGUUGCAUCUUCAGUUCCUCCAUGACUAUGAGGGCUUGAAUCUUGAUGAGUUCAAGAACUCGGAUGCUGAGUUGCAGGUUCCGAGUUAUGCUAACUCGGUUCCAGGUAAGGUCUUCCCUACUAUGAUUUUUGACAAGGGAGUCGAUGGCGCUGCAGGGCAUAUGUAUCAUAUGAGAAGAUUAAGACAAGCCAAGGGUGUUAUGGUAAACACAUUUAUUGAUCUUGAAUCACAUGCUAUUCAAUCAUUUUCUGGCAGUACAGUACCGCCAGUGUAUCCCGUUGGACCCAUUCUCAACACUAGAACGGGAUUUGGUGAGGAUCAACAAAAUGCUAGUGCCAUCAUGAGCUGGCUUGAUGAUCAGCCUCCAUCGUCUGUGGUUUUCCUAUGCUUCGGGGGCAUGGGAAGCUUUGGUACGGAUCAGAUCAAGGAGAUAGCAUAUGGGCUAGAGCGCAGUGGGCAUCGCUUCUUGUGGUCCCUUCGCCAAGCUCCCCAAAAGGGUAAAAUGGCAUUUCCGAGAGACUAUGAAAAUAUUGAGGAAGUUCUACCAGACGGGUUUUUACAUCGGACGGCUAGAAUUGGAAAGAUAAUUGGAUGGGCUCCACAAGUAGCGGUUUUAGCCCACACAGCUGUUGGAGGAUUUGUUUCUCACUGUGGAUGGAAUUCUCUCCUCGAAAGCAUAUGGUACGGUGUUCCAGUAGCCACAUGGCCAAUAUAUGCGGAACAACAAAUCAACGCUUUCCAAAUGGUGAAAGAUUUAGGAUUAGCAGUAGAAAUUAAAAUUGAUUAUAAUAAGGAUAACAACUAUAUUGUAAAUGCUCAUGAGAUUGAAAACGGAUUAAGGAAAUUGAUGAGCAUUAAUAGUGAAGUGAGGAAGAAAAUGAAUGAAAUGCAACAAAUAAGUAGAAGAGUUAUAAUAGAUGGUGGAUCAUCGCACUCUUCUUUAGGUCAUUUUAUUGAAAACGUAAUGACCAAUAUUCCAUAACCUAAUGUAUCGGAUCGUUACUUUAUCAUAUGUUUUUAUUUCAAUGUUGAUGUAAUUUCUUUGAUUUUGAAAUCUAUAAGAAAGUUUGUUAUCUUUUUAUCAUUUAGUGAAGAAAGUUUAAAAUGAUAUAAAUUUAAUCAUAUGUAGAUUUUAGUUGUUAAUGAAUGCAUAAUUGAUAAUCUUCCGUAUAGGGAGUUAAGUUAAUAAUAAAAUAAAUAAUAUAAUUAACAAUCAACAAAGCUUUUAAAAUUGUUUUAUUAAGGUCAAUAGUAAUAGUACCAUUGGGAAUUUGAUGGUCCAAUUUGAGCUUGGACAUCUAAAAGUCUAUUUUAUUAUAGUAAAUACUAGCUAGAAUUUGUUCAAUUGGGUCUAUAUUAAGGUUGGAAAGAGAAAUGUCCAAGAUGAUCAUUAAUUUUGUAACAUACAUAAUUAAGUAAUAAUUAAUAGGAAAUGACUUUUUCAAGACCUAUUAAAUUAAAAUUAAAAUUCAAAAAAAAAAGUUAGGUGAAUAAACAAAAUAAUAACUUUUAUAUGAAUAUAAAAAAACUUUAUUAAAAAAAAAUGAGGAGUUCACGUGCUUUCAAAAACUGAAAUUCCAUGUAAUAAAAAUGCUUUUAACUUCAAAAUUUUAAUCUAUUGUUUUUUUGAAGGGAAAUUUUUCCUAUUUAUAUAAGAAUUUUUAGUAAUUUUUUAGUUUAAUUAUGUAGGACAUGCGCCUUAAGCAACCUCUUCGGGUCAUAUUAUUUUAUUAUUUUUCCCUGUUAUGUUUCCUUUUCAAAUAGGAGUUGACAUAAAUACCCUUCUCUACAUGCACUAUGAAGUGAUCGGACUGCCCUCAAUUGUCAUCAAAAUUUCAUGUAUUUACCUCUUGUCAUGUAGUGUCCAAUUCUUCACACCCUCAUAUGGUGCUUCUAAUAUAUUCCCAAUAAUUCUUUAUGUCUCUAUGCAUGAUAUUUGAUAACUUCAAAGUGUGACAUGUGACACUUCUAGUGCAUCCCUAAAUUAAUACUUAUAGUUUAGUUAAUGUAAUUCUUUUCUAGCCCAUUUGCAUAGUGUUGAGAUUAUUCAACUUUUCUAAUUAUUUUAAAUUGUUAGGAAUUUAAUUAUUUUACUAAUGUUUUACUUUCUCUAAUUAUUUUUAAUCUAAUUGGAUUUUUAAUUGUUUUAUUUAUUUUACUAAGGUUUUACUUUCUCUAAUUAUUUUAAAUUAAAUUGGAUUUUUAAUUAUUUAAUUUAUUUAUUUUCAAAAAUUGAAAAAAAAAUUCUUAUCUAAAAAUCCAAGAUGUUAAUCAAUGUAGCGAAAAAAAAAAAGUAAAAGAAAUUUUAUAUAAUCUAGAUAACAUAUAAUUUUAAUUUGUUUUUUUCUUUUUUUUUCACGAAAUCAAUACUAAUUCCUCUAACCUCAAAGAAACACACAAAUUUUUAGAAAAAAUUACUGUUAAAAGACUUAAUCCUCACCUAACAUAAUAUAUAUAUAUAUAUAACCAUUACUAUUAAUUAUUAGUUAAAAUUAUAAUUUGAUAUUCCUAAAAAUUGGAUAUAUUAUUAUUAUUAUUAUUAUUAUUAUUAUUAUUAUUAUUAUUAUUCCUCAUUAUAUUAAUUUAAUUAAUCUAUUCUUAAAUUAGAUUGAGUUAGUAAAUUUCCCAUUUACUUAAAAUUAUUAACUCCAAAACUUGAUUCUAAAAAUAUACCAAUUUGAUUUCAUUAAACCAAGAGUUUAUUUUAUUUAUUAAUUUAAAACUAAACAUUUUAUCAUACCAUCUCAUUACUCUUUUCUUUUCUUUUUUCUUUUUAAUAAAUACUCAUUGAUAGCAUCAAAUCCAACAUUUAAACAUCACUGUAACCUUUUUUUUAUUAUUUUAUAAGAAAGUUUAUUCUCUUUUUAUCAUUUAAUGAAGAAAGUUUAAAAUGACAUAAAUUUAAUCAUAUGCAAAAUUUGGUUGUUAAAGAAUGCACAAUUGAUUAUCCUCUAGUAGGGAGUUAAAAUAAAUAAUAUAAUUAAUAAUUAACAAAACUAUUAAAAUUGUUUUAUUAAGGUGACAGUAAUAGUACAAUUGGGAAUUUUAAGAUCCAGUUUGAACUUGGACUCCUAAAAGUCUAUUUUAUUAUAGUGAGUACUAGAAUUUGUUCACUUGGGUCACUAUUAAUGUUGGAAAGAGAAAUGUCCAAGAUGGUCAUUAAUUGUGUAACAUACAUAAUUAUAUAAUAAUUAAUAGGGAAUGACUCUUUCAAGACCUAUUAAAUUAAAAAAAAAAAAUUCAAAAAAAAAAAAGGUGAAUAAACAAAUUAAAUAAUAACUUUGAAUAAACAAAAUAAUAAUUUUUAUAUAAAUAUAAAAAAAUGAGGAUGUCAAUUGCUUUCAAAAACUGAAAUUCCAUGUAAUAAAAAGCUUUUAACUUGAAAUUUUUAACCUAUUUUUUGUUUUGGUUGUAAAUUUUUCCUAUUUAUAUAAGAAUUUUUUAGUUUAAUUUUGUAGAACAUUAACCUUAAGCCAACUCUUUGGUUCACAUUAUGAUGUGACAUAAAUACCCUUUCAAAUAGGAGUUGACAUAAAUACCCUUCCCUACAUUAUGAAGUGAUCGAACUACCAUUAAUUGUCAUCAAAAUUUUAGGUAUUUACCUCUUGUCAUGUAGUGUCCAAUUUUUCAUAUCCUCACAUGUGACAUUCAGCGACCAUGUGGUGCUUCUAAUAUAUUCCCAACUAUUCUUUAUAUCUCUAUGCAUGACAUUUGACUACUCCAAAGUGUGACAUGUGAACUUCUAGUAUAUCCCUAAAUUAAUACUUAUAGUUUAGUUGAUGUAAUUCUUUUCUAGUCCAUUUGCAUAGUUUUGAGGUUAUUCAACUUUUCGAUUAUUUUAAAUAAUGGGGAAUUUAAUUAUUUUACUAAUGUUUUACUUUCUCUAAUUAUUUUAAAUUUAAUUGGAUUUUUAACUAUUUUAUUUGUUUUACUAAGAUUUUAAUUUCUCUAAUUAUUUAUAAUUUAAUUGAAAUUUUAAUUAUUUAAUUUAUUUAUUUUCAAUUUUUUUUUAAAAAAAAUCUUAUCUAAAAAUCCAAGAUGCACAAUCAAUGUAGAGAAAAAAAAAAGUAAAAGAAAUUUUAUAUAAUUCCAAAUAACAUAUAAUUUUUUUUCAUGAAAAUCAAUACUAAUUCCCCUGCACAAAUUUUAAAAAAAAAUUAUUGUUAAAGAACUUAAUCAUCCAUCACCUAACAUAAUAUAAUAAUAAAAAAAACCAUUACUAUUAAUUAUUUAGCUAAAAUUAUAAUUUGAUAUUCCUAAAAAUUGUAUAUAUCAUUAUUAUUAUUAUUCCUGAUUAUAUUAAUUUAAUUAAUCUAUUCUUAAAUUUAGGUUGAGUUAGUAAAUGUCCCAUUCGUGUUUAGGUUUAAGUUCACCUGUUGAUCUUCCUUCAACAUCAAGUAUUAAUGGUGGGCUUCAACCAUAUUCAAUUGAGUCUCAUACCCUUUGAAUUGACAAGCCUUUCUUUGGCUUCAAUCAAAGAUUGGUGUCUCUGAUAGGAGCACCAUCUUGUAGGGGCAUAAUAGUGCAGAAUCUCAUCCCUAUAAUCUUAUAGAUUCACAUCCCGAUGUUAAAGCCUCACCAACUCAAUCAAGAUCUCCAAAUGGGUGAAAUUCUACAAUAAUCAAUGACCAAUUACACGGGUAAACUCUAAAUCAUUUAGUCAUAAGUUAUGACAUCAUUUUUAUAGCUUUCUGUACAUAAUAUUCAUGUUUUGUAUUUAUAUAGUGUAUUGACUAUAAAUGAAUACAAGCUUUCACAUUAGUAUUAUGUAUUUAUUAUUUUUUUUGUUAACCCCAAAUGUAUAAUUUUAUUGUAAGUGUAUAAUAUUCAUACUAUGUAUUUAUAUAGUGUAUUGAUUGUAAAUGAAUUCAAGCUUUCUCAUCAAUAAUGUUUUUUUCUAUUAGCCCCAAAUGUAUAAUUUUGUUGUUUGUUUUAUAUGAAAAUGGUAGAAAUCUAGAACCACUAACUCUUGCCUCGAUCUUCAACAAAGGCCAACCACAAAUCAUACAAAAGCGACGAGUACCAGCUAUAAUAACAUUUAUAUUAAUAUAAAAAACUUUUAUUAAAAAAAAAUGAGGACCUCACAUGAUUUCAAAAGAUGAAAUUCCAUGUAAUGAAAAGAUAAUUUUUUUCUUAUUUAUAUAAGAAUUUUUGGUAAUUUUUUAGUUUAAUUUUGUAGAACAUGAAGCUUGAACAAACUCAUCAAGUCGCAUUAUUUUAUUAUUUUUCCUUUUUUAUGUUUCUUUUUCAAAUAUUAAUUAAUGUAAAUACCCUUCUCUACAUUAUGAAGUGAUCGAACUAAUGAAUUUUCAUUUGCAACAUCAAAUUCUCCACGAGGAUUCAAACAUCACUGAAAUACUUAAGGUCAUCACAUGUUUUUCAUCAUACACUAUAACACCCCAAAUUAAUUUUUAAGGUUAGAAACGCAAAUUAGAAAUACAAAAAAUAAGUAAAUAAAUAAAUAAUUUUAAUAAGAGUAGAAAGUUCUUUUUGUAUUUAAAAACCCUAUAAAUUAUAUUUUUCUUGUCAUCUCUUUACAUAAACCCUUUGUGCAUAGAGAUUAGAGAAAUUAGGAAACGCAGUGUUGAAGAUUUAGGGAUUUAGGGUUUGAAGAUUAGUUUUUUGGAUAAGAGUUUUAACCUUGAGAUUAGCAUUUUAUAUUAAUUAAUUAAUUAAUUUUGAAUUAUUUUUUAAAAAAAAUUUGAAAGAUCUCAUAUAGAUUAGGGUUUGUUAUUUAAUUUUUUUUUUUAGAUAAAAAAGAUUGGGAAUUUAUGAACAUAGUGUGGACCCCAUAUUUCGGCUCAUGCGUUUUCCACUCAAUGGCGAGCUCGAUUUUAUUUCGAAAAAUUGAUUUUUAUUUGAUUAAGAAAAAAUUGACUUGGAGUCGCCACUUAUUUUUGUUUUAAUUUUAAAGGGGUAAACAAAAUAAGAAAGAAAAACCCUAAAUGUGACUCCUUGUUUCGGAAAAGGUGGUCAGUGAAAAACCGGAUCCGGUUCGAGGGUCAGGUUACUUAUCGGGAAGGUACGGUGAAGACCAUAGCACCCCUCUAAGCCCCUAAAGUCGGGUCUCUACUAAAAAAAUGAAGCAAUCAUGACAAUUGAUGAGGAAAACAAUGAAUACCCGGAACUAUCAUGCACAUAGAAGAAUCAAAACAUGUAUAUGGAAAUACCGGAAUGGGGAAUAGAUACGUACUUGGGUGACGAGCCACAAUGCGCUUAUCAAAAAGUGAAGUUAGUGCACAAUUAAAGAAUAAUUUCAAACAUGUCAUAGGGCAGAAUAGAAACAAUCAUGCAUGACAACUAAAUCAAUCAGUUAUAAAGUCGCAUAUGUUGGGCUCCCACCAAUACCCAUUUAUUUUACAUGGACCAAAUCCGUAAAUUCCAUUAUUCAGAAUUACAAAAUUUGUUUCAUUGCUUAUUUCAAAACAUUUUUAAAACAGAGGAGCAGAAGAUCGUUUUGAAGACCAGAAUGGAAUUAAGCUAUUUGAGAGAAAAUUAGAUUUUUGAAAUUUAAUUGAAGAAUUGGAAUCUCGAAGAGCACUAGAAAAUUGGAGUUUUAGAGUUUAUUUGGAUAUUAGACUUUUAGAGAUUGAAUGUGGGAAUGAGAAUUUUCAGAAACUGAAUUUGAAAGAGGUUGGAAUUUUGAAAACGAUUUGAGGGCUCGGGAUUUUAGAGAAAGAUUAAGUUGCGAAAAUUGAGACUUUGGGAGUUGAAUUUUGAAAGAGAUCAGAAUCGUAAGUUAUUUGAGAAAUAGAAAUUAUGAAAGUUGAUGUGUAAAAAUUGGAAAUCUUAGAAGUCAUUCGAAGACGGAAUUUAUAAAAAUAAUGAAUAAGAUGAUAAUGAUAAUGAUAAUAAUAAGUAGCGGGAUAAAUACGGGAAUUGGAGCAUGGGAAACUGAAAAUUAAGUUCGGAGAUAGGACACUUGGAAUUUUAGACAGCUAAAUUUAGAAAUCGGAAUUUUGAAGAAUUAGACUUUAAUGAUUGAGAUUUUUAAGAGAAAUAAAUGGGUAAAUAUGGAAUAACGUUAUUAGUUAAUCAAAACGAUAUUUGGACGGAUGAAUAGUGAAUAGUGAGAUUUGUGAGAUUGAAAACUAAAUUGGAAAAUCGGAUUUUGACGAAAGUGAUAUUUGAACGGAUGAAAGUGAAUAGUGGGAUUUUGAAAAUUAAGUUUGAAAGUCGGGCCUUUGAAUAAUUGAACUCUAAUUAUUGGAAUUUUUAGAAGAAAGAAACGAGUAAACGUGGAAUUUAUAACAAUGAUAACAAAGAUGAUAUUUGAGUGAAUAAAAGUGAAGGGUGGGAUUUUUGAGUCUCAAGGUUUAAUUUGGAAGUCCGGUUUUGAAGAAUUGAAUUUUAAUGAUCGAAAUAAAUAAGUAAAUAAGUAUGGAGUAAUGAUACUAAUUAACAAAAAUAAUGUUUAAACGAAUAAAAAAGAGGAUAGUGGAAUUUUUCUAAUUGAGAAUUUGAAUUAGGGUGUUGGAUUUUUAAGGGAUAUGACUUUGAAUAAAUAGGUAGGUAUGGGAUUAUAAUACUAAUUAACGAGAAUAACAUUUCGGUGAAUAAAGAUGGAUAGUACAAUUUUUGGAAUUGAAGUUUUAAUUAAGGCAUGGGGUUUUCGAGUUGAUAAAUAUGAGAUUUAAAAGAGUAUUUGAAGAAUUAAAACAUGUGAUCUUGACUUUCUUUUAUAGAUUGGACUUUGAAUAAAUAAUAAAUACGGGAAUAAUAAUUCGAAUUAUGAAAAUAUGAUUUAAGCAAGUAUUUGAAGAAUUAAAUUAUAGUAUGAGAUUUUUGAAGGAUUGGUAUGAAUAAAAUAGGAGAAUAUAAGAUAAUAAUUCUAAUUGAUAAAUAUGAGAUUUAAAAGAGUAUUUGAAGAAUUAAAACAUGUGAUCUUGAUUUUCUUUUAUAGAUUGGACUUUGAAUAAAUAAUAAAUACGGGAAUAAUGAUUCUAAUUAAUGGAAAUAAGAUUUAGACGAAUAUUUGAAUAAUUAAAUUAAGACAUGGGAUUUUUAAAGGAUUAGACUAGAUAAAUAUGGGAUAUUGAUUCUAUUUAAUGAAAAUGAUAUUUAAACGAAUAUUUGAAGAAAUAAAUUAAAACAUGGGAUUUUUGAGAGAUUAGACUAGAUAAAUAUGAGAUAUUGAUUCUAUUUAAUGAAAAUGAGAUUUAAACGAAUAUUUUAAGUUAAAACAUGGGAUUUUUGAAAGAUUAGACUAGAUAAAUAUAAGAUAUUAAUUCCAUUUAAUGAAAAUGAGAUUUAAACGAAUAUUUGAAGAAUUAAAUUAACACAUGGGACUUUCGAAAGAUUAGACCUUAAAUAACUAGAUAACUAUGGGAUAAUAAUUUUAAUUGAUGGAAACAAGAUCUAAACGAGCUUUUGAAAAAUUAUUAAUAAACGAGAUUUAUAAAAUAUGAUAAAUAGAUAUACACGAAAAAAGUAAUAAAAAAAAUAAUUAAAAAAAUAAAUAAUAAUAAUGAUAAUAAUAAUAAUAAUAAUAAAUAAUUAUAAUGUUUAAGCUAGCGAAAUUGAAUAAUAUAAGCUUCAAGAUAAAACUAUAAUUAACAAUAAUAAUUUGACUUUCAAUUUUCUUUAAGAUGAGUUAACUAAAUGUGUAAAAAUAAGAUGACAAAUAAAAGGGGAUGAUUGAAUUAAUUAAUUAUGGAUAUUAGAGGCUUUUAUAAAAUUGCUUAAAGUUUGGGGCAGCCUAAUGGGCUGACUUGACGUGGACCUGGGCCACCUUAAUAAGGAUGGCAGGCAUGGGGAGCUAUGGGGCUAUCUCUUAAUGCAAAUGGGUUGGGCCCUAAAUUCAAAACCAAGCCCAAAGCCAUCAUGGGCUAUCCUCAAGGCAGCCAUCUCCAGUUGGGCGUCACCCUCGAAGGGAGCCUUCCACCAUCGGCGGCACGAUGAAGAGGGGAGCUGCGGCAGCGCGAUGAAAAGGGGAGCCGUGGCGGUGGUCUGGUGACGUCCAGAAGGUGUUGCCGCCGUGGUGGCUGGUGCAGGCGCGCGCGUAGACGGAGCAGGUGGUGGCGGCCUGGCAACUUCCUACAUCAAACUACCCUUAAUUGUCAUGUAGUGUCCAAUUUUUCAUAUCCUCACAUGUGACAUUGGGCGACCAUGUGGUGCUUCUAAUAUAUUCCCAAUUAUUCUUUAUAUCUCUAUGCAUGACAUUUGACUACUCCAAAGUAUGACAUGUGACGCUUCUAGUAUAUCCCUAAAUUAAUUCUUAUAGUUUAGUUUAUGUAAUUUUUUUCUAGUCCAUUUGCAUAGUUUUGAGGUUAUCCAACUUUUCUAAUUAUUUUAAAUUAUUGGAAACUUAAUUAUUUUACUAAUGUUUUACUUUUUUUCUAAUUAUUUUAAAUUUAAUUGGAUUUUUAAUUGUUUUAUUUGUUUUACUUAGGUUUUACUUUCUCCAAUUAUUUAUAAUUUAAUUGAAUUUUUUACUAUUUAAUUUAUUUAUUUUCAAAAAUCGGAAAAAAAAAUUAUCUCAAAAUCCAAGAUGUUACACAAUCAAUGUAGAGAAAAAAAAAAGUAAAAGAAAUUUUAUAUAAUUCCAAAUAACAUAUCAUUUUUUUUCACGAAAAUCAAUACUAAUUCCCCUAACCUCAAAGAAACCCACAAUUUUUUUGAAAAAUUUAUUGUUAAAGAACUUAAUCAUCAACUAACAUAAUAUAAAAAAUAAAUAAAUAACCAUUACUAUUAAUUAUUUAGCUAAAAUUAUAAUUUGAUAUUCCUGAAAAUCGUAUAUAUAUAUAUAUCAUUAUUAUUAUUAUUAUUAUUCCUCAUUAUAUUAAUUUAAUUGAUCUAUUCUUAAAUUUAGGUUGAGUUAGUAAAUUUCCCAUUUACCUAAAAUUAUUAACUUCAAAACUUGAUUCUAAAAAUAUGUCAAUUUCAUUUCACUAAACCAAGAUUUUAUUUUAUUUAUUAAUUUAAAACUAAACAUUUUAUUAUACCAUCUCAUUACAAUUUUUUUUUUAAUAAAUCCUCACUGAUAGCAUUAAAUUCCUCACCAACAUUCAAACAUCACUAUAACUUUCUUUUAUUAUUUUAUCAUACCAUCCCAUUACUCCUCCUAUAUCUUGUUGAAAUGGAUCUUCGUUUGCAGCAUCAAAUUCUCCACUAGCAUUCAAACAUCACUGCGACACCUAUGGUCAUCACACAUUUUCCAACACCUACAUCAUACACUGUAACAGCUCGAAUUAAUUUCCAAGGUUAUAAUCGUAAAUUAGAAAUAUAAAAAAAAUUUAAAUAAUUUUAAUAAGAGUAGAAACGUUUUUUGUAUUUAAAAACCCCAUAAAUUACAUUUUUCUUCUCUUCUCUUUACAUAAAUCCUUUUUGUAUAGAGAUAAGGGGAAUUAGAGAACGAAGGGUUGAAGAUCAAUUUUUUAAACAAGAUUAUUAACCUUGAGAUUAGUAUUUUAUAUUUAUUAAUUAGUUUUAGACAUUUUAAAUUUUUUUUGAAAGAUCUCGAUAUAGAUUAAGGUUUGUUAUUUAAAUUUUUUUUAGAUAAAAAAGAUUAAAAAUUUAUGAACAUAGGUAGAUUUAUUAAUGAAGAACAACACAUCUCUAUUUUAGCACCUUAAAAAAGUUAGCUAUGAAGGACAUGUUCAAUCACAAGUCAUCAAUAUAGACAAAAAAAAUAAAUAAAUAUAACAUUGUUGUUGCAAUUGUAAAUAAAAAGAGAUGAAUUUUUUUAAUGAAAGACAAUAAAGACUUACAUCAUUUUCUUGUCAUCGAAGCUAUCUCCAUGUCUCAAGGGUUACUACCCACUCAUCAUAUAUAUGUAUGAGUGUAGACCCUAAAAUUUGUCCUAAAUUUAUUUCUAUAUUAAUUUUGACCUUAAUUUUAUUUUUAAAUUUUAAAUCUUGAUUACAUAUAAUAUUUUUAAUCCACUCAUCAUUUAAUUUUUAAUUUUUAUUAUUUUAUAUAUUAUUUUAUUUUAUUUUAUUAUUACUAUUAUUUUUUCUUUCUUUUUCUUUUCUUUCUUUUCUUUUUUUAUUUCUUUCCUCUCUCCUCUCUCAUCAUUGCCCCACGUCAACCCCAUAGCCCCCUCUCUGAGUCACUUCCAUAUUCUCUCUCCUCUCACUUUUCUUUUUCUUUUGGACUUUUUUUGCUUCCCCAAAAAUAGAGCCCAGGUUGGUUUGCAAAUUUAUGACACGUGGAGUAUAGAAUUUCAUGAGAGAAAAUGAGACUCGAAAAACUAUAAAUAGAGUAUUGAAUUUGUUGUAAACUUAUUUGGGUACAUAUUUUAUUACCUUCUUUUAUUUUAUUUUAAUUUUAUUGGUUUCUAUAAAUAUUAUUUUAUAUAUAUUUAUUGAGUGUACAUAAUUGAAUAUUGAACAAAUUAAAAAUUUUGUUUAAAUAAAAUGAUUAAUUCAGUAAACAUGUUUUAAUAAAAUAAUAAUUUAAAAAUAUUCUGCUUAAUAAAAGAAAUUUUUUUAUUAAUAAAAAUUUAGAAAAAUGCUUUUAGAAAAAUCCAAAAAAAUUAUUUUAAUAGAAUUUGAAAAAUUGUUUUUAAUAAUGAUUGCCCAAAAAUUUCUUUGUUUAAUAAAAAGUGUCCAAAAAUUAUUCUAUAAACAAAAUUGUCCCAAAAAAUAAUUUUUAAUUAAAAAUUGUUUUGUAAAUAAAGUUGUAUUUUUUUUUAAUAAUUUGUAUAAGUCACUUUGAUGGUAAUGUUAUCUCUUAGUUUGCAAACAAAUGUUUGUUGUUCAAUCUUGCAUGGAGUUUGAAUAUUAGACCCUUGCUUGCACAGUUGCUGAAGUCAUUUGGCUCAAAUCUCUUUUGGGUGAACUUAGUCUUCAACUCCCUAAGACACUUAUUAUAAAUUGUGACAACAUUCGCGUUACUUACCUUUCUAUCAACUCCUUUUCACUCAAAAAUGAAAUACAUUGCUAUCAACUUUCACUUUGUGUGUGAUCAUGUUGUCAAUGGGUAUCUCAUCGUAUCAUAUAUCUCUACCAAAGAUUAACUUGCAAAUGCUUUGAUUAAGCCUUUAAGUCAACAACUCUUUCUUCGAAUUCGAUCCAAUAUUGGUGUCUCUGAUGGGAGCACCAUCUUGCAGUGGCGUAAUUGUGCUGAAUCUUAUCCCUGCAAUCUUGCAGCUUCACAUCCUGAUAUUCAAGCCUCACAAACUUAACCAAAAUCCCUAAAUGGAUGAAAUUUUGUAAUCAAUGACUAAUUACAUGGGUCAACUCUAAAUCAUUCGGCCAUAAUUUAUGAUAUCAUUUUUGUAAUUUUCUGUGCAUAAUAUUCACUCUGUAUUUAUACAGUGUCUUGACCAAAAAUGAACACAAGCUUUCUCAUCAGUAUUAUUUUUUCUGUUAGUCCCAAAUGUAUAACUUUAUUGUUUGUUUUAUAUGAAAAUGUUAGCCCUAAAUGGAUGACUUCAUUGUUUGUUUUAUAUGAAAAUGACAGAAAUCUAGAACCACUCACUUUUGCCUCAAUUUUCAACAAAGGCCAACACAAAUCAUACAAAAACGACAAGUAAAGGAAAAUAGAUUGAAACAGCUAAGCCAUGACAUCAGUUUCUCGGCCCCCAAGACUAAUCAGGCUGGUUAGGAAAAGUCAUUUAUAACCCAUUCAGCCACAAGUAUAAUUAUCACACCACCGCAAAGCCCUCAAAACAUCCAAUAUUUUUCUCUUUGCAGUGACUGCUAGUUAGUGAUGAAACAAACUGAGCUUGUCUUCAUCCCAGUUCCGAUCAUUAGCCACCUUUCGCCUACAGUGGAGAUUGCAAAGCUGCUUACUCAGCGAGACCCCCGAUUCUCAAUCACGAUCUUCAUCAUGAAGUUUCCGUUUGGGUCCAUUGAUAGUAUGACCACGGACUCUGAUUCCAUACGUUUCGUCACACUUCCUCCUGUAGAGAUCAGCUCCGGAGCGACGACGCCUAGUCCCUUCAUGCCUGAAUUCAUCAAAGCUCAGACACUACUCGUCAGAGACGCAGUCCACGAGCUCACUCGCUCCAACUCGGUUCGGCUCGCUGGGUUCGUUAUUGACGCGCUCUGCACCCACAUGAUUGAUGUGGCCGAUGAGUUUGGGGCGCCU